rnacentral:rRNA from 1 species
UACGUAGGGUGCGAGCGUUAAUCGGAAUUACUGGGCGUAAAGCGUGCGCAGGCGGCGCGUUAAGACAGGUGUGAAAGCCCCGAGCUUAACUUGGGAAUUGCGCUUGUGACUGGCGUGCUGGAGUGUGGCAGAGGGAGGUGGAAUUCCACGUGUAGCAGUGAAAUGCGUAGAGAUGUGGAGGAACACCGAUGGCGAAGGCAGCCUCCUGGGCCAGCACUGACGCUCAUGCGCGAAAGCGUGGGUAGCAAACAGG